rnacentral:rRNA from 1 species
GCUAAACGCGAAGAACCUUACCCACCUUUGACAUGUACGGAAUCCUUUAGAGAUAGAGGAGUGCUCGAAAGAGAGCCGUAACACAGGUGCUGCAUGGCUGUCGUCAGCUCGUGUCGUGAGAUGUUGGGUUAAGUCCCGCAACGAGCGCAACCCUUGCCAUUAGUUGCUACGAAAGGGCACUCUAAUGGGACUGCCGGUGACAAACCGGAGGAAGGUGGGGAUGACGUCAAGUCCUCAUGGCCCUUAUAGGUGGGGCUACACACGUCAUACAAUGGCUGGUACAGAGGGUUGCCAACCCGCGAGGGGGAGCCAAUCCCACAAAGCCGGUCGUAGUCCGGAUCGCAGUCUGCAACUCGACUGCGUGAAGUCGGAAUCGCUAGUAAUCGCAGAUCAGCAUUGCUGCGGUGAAUACGUUCCCGGGUCUUGUACACACCG